UACGAGGGGGGCGAGCGUUGUUCGGAAUUAUUGGGCGUAAAGGGUGCGUAGGCGGUUCCGCAAGUCCGGUGUGAAAUCUUCGGGCUCAACUCGAAGUCUGCACGGGAAACUGCGGGGCUUGAGUGUGGGAGAGGUGAGUGGAAUUCCCGGUGUAGCGGUGAAAUGCGUAGAGAUCGGGAGGAACACCAGAGGCGAAGGCGGGGACCUGGACAGGUACUGACACUCAACUACGAAAGCGUGGGGAGCAAACAGG
rnacentral:rRNA from 1 species